rnacentral:rRNA from 1 species
CAACUACGUGCCAGCAGCCGCGGUGACACGUAGGCACCAAGCGUUGUCCGGAUUUAUUGGGCGUAAAGAGCUCGUAGGCGGUUCAGUUAGUCGGGUGUGAAAACUCUGGGCUCAACCCAGAGACGCCACCCGAUACUGCUGUGACUUGAGUACGGUAGGGGAGUGGGGAAUUCCUGGUGUAGCGGUGAAAUGCGCAGAUAUCAGGAGGAACACCAGUGGCGAAGGCGCCACUCUGGGCCGUAACUGACGCUGAGGAGCGAAAGCAUGGGUAGCAAACAGGAUUAGAUACCCUGGUAGUCCAUGCCGUAAACGUUGGGCACUAGGUGUGGGUCUCAACCAACGAGAUCCGCGCCGUCGCUAACGCAUUAAGUGCCCCGCCUGGGGAGUACGGUCGCAAGGCUAAAACUCAAAGGAAUUGACGGGG